GGUGUAGCUCAAUGAUAGAGCACUUGCUUAGCAUGCAUGAGGCUCUUGGUUCUAAACCUAGCACC
rnacentral:tRNA from 1 species